ACCCAGAAAGGGGAAAGGGCCAAAAAGGAAGGGUGAGAAAAAGACGUGGGAUGGGUAAGUGACCUUAACUACAUUGAUAAAAGUCAUAUAUAUGUAUGCAGUGUUUCAAGUCUUUUUAAGCAAUGCAAAAACUCCAUAGGUGCCCUUUAACUUUCACAAUUAAAAUUUGAAUAGUUGUACAACUGCUCUUUUUGUUCCUUCUUUAUUGUUCUUUUCUCUUUAACUUGAACCUCCAAAGAACCUAAAGAUACACAUACAACAAACGAAACGAAAGAAGAAAUUAAAUACACAUACAGUUAUAAUAAAAAAACAAAGAAGAAAAAGUAUUGCAUGAACCUUGAAUUUGUUUAAGCAGAAGAGUAUUCUGAAAAAUGAUUUCCGUGCAAUGAAUUGAAAGCAGAUAGUAAAGUGGGCUUCAACUUACCACAGAAAGCCAACAGAUUCGGCUCAAACUAUCAAACUCCAACUCCAUAAUUGAGUGGACCCGCAUUUGCAAUUUCAAGUUGGGGAAAAAGACGUGAAGGUAACUUGAAAACUUGAAGCAAGCAGCAUAUAACACCUGCUACACUCCCAUUAUUAUGGUCACUGACAAAUGACAUAAUGUCCUCAUACUCCUCAAGUUAAUCCCCAGUUGGGUUUACAAAGAUCAUACAAACUGAACCUUUGAUCGUCACACGUGAGAAGAAGAUAUUCUUUGCUGAGGUUAAAAUCACUUCAUUCAAAUCAUCUAAGAAAAAACUGUAAUUUUCUUGAAUUUUUAGCAUCAUCGCAGUGGGCCCCACCUGGAAAACUAUUAAGUGGCUCACAGAUUCAUCAUCAGCCAUGACUCUUUCAGCCCAUCAUGUGUAUAACAUCAUCAUACAACAGUUCAAAUCAAAUCAAUGGUACAAACUUAGUAUCAACCACUGUGUUUGGCUUUUGGCAUGGGAAAACUCACACUGUAAAUAAAACACUCUUCCUGUUCAACAUGAUCUAUCUGAGUUUAUGGUAAAUUUUACUAAUUUUAAUUAAACUCCCAUAGAUGGUUUUUUGGUGGGGAGGAACAUGGUCUGAGGUAUGGGGUCCGUAGCAUCAUGUCC
rnacentral:lncRNA from 1 species